rnacentral:rRNA from 1 species
AUACGGAGGAUGCGAGCGUUAUCCGGAUUUAUUGGGUUUAAAGGGAGCGUAGGCGGGAGCUUAAGUCAGCGGUUAAAUGGUGCGGCUCAACCGUGCCCUGCCGUUGAAACUGGGUUUCUUGAGAGUGCAAGAGGCGGAUGGAAUUCAUGGUGUAGCGGUGAAAUGCUUAGAUAUCAUGAAGAACUCCGAUUGCGAAGGCAGUCCGCUGGGGCACGUCUGACGCUGAUGCUCGAAGGUGCGGGAAUCAAACAGGAUUAGAUACCCUGGUAGUCCACACCGUAAACGAUGAGCACUAGGUGUCGGGCUCGCAAGAGUUCGGUGCCGCAGUUAACGCAUUAAGUGCUCCGCCUGGGGAGUACGUACGCAAGUAUGAAACUCAAAUGAAUUGGCGGGG